CCUACGGGUGGCAGCAGUAGGGAAUUUUCGGCAAUGGGGGGAACCCUGACCGAGCAACGCCGCGUGGAGGAUGAAGGUUUUCGGAUUGUAAACUCCUUUUGUUAGAGAAGAUAAUGACGGUAUCUAACGAAUAAGCACCGGCUAACUCCGUGCCAGCAGCCGCGGUCAUACGGAGGGUGCAAGCGUUACUCGGAAUCACUGGGCGUAAAGAGCGCGUAGGCGGGAUAGCAAGUCAGAUGUUAAAUCCUAUGGCUUAACCAUAGAACUGCAUUUGAAACUGUUAUUCUAGAGUAUGGGAGAGGUAGGUGGAAUUAUUGGUGUAGGGGUAAAAUCCGUAGAGAUCAAGAGGAAUACUCAUUGCGAAGGCGACCUGCUAGAACAUAACUGACGCUGAUGCGCGAAAGCGUGGGGAGCAAACAGGAUUAGAUACCCGUGUAGUC
rnacentral:rRNA from 1 species